rnacentral:lncRNA from 1 species
UGAUUAAAGAAGUGAAGAUUCUUGAAGUCCACGUAGACAAAGGCAUGAACAUGGACAGAGAAUUACAUUCACUGGGGAAGCAGAUCAGGCCCCAGGAGUGGAACCAGGAGACAUUGUUCUUUUGCUCCAAGAGAAGGAACAUGAGGUGUUCCAGAGAGACGGGAAUGAUUUGCACAUGACAUACAAGAUAGACUUGUUGAAGCUUUGUGUGGAUUUCAGUUCACAUUUAAACCCUUGAUGGACGUCAGAUUGUGGUGAAAUACCCCCUGGAAAAGUAAUUGAACCAGGUAGAUCUUGAUUUUUGUUUGACCCAGGAUUCCAUGUGUUCUUUUGUGAUUUUAAUUUUUUAUAGCUAGUGACUCUCAAAAGAAUUAUUGAGUACCUUCUUGAAUAAAUUCUAAAUAGUUUCCUUUUUACUCAAUAUGUGUCCGUGUAGUUCGAGGUGAAGGAAUGCCACAGUAUCGUAAUCCCUUUGAAAAGGUGAUCUAUACAUAAAAUUUGAUGUGCAGUUUCCUGAAAACAACUGGAUCAACCCAGACAAGCUUUCUGUAAGUGUUCUGUAAGCAGCAGAUAACUUAAAGUUUAAUAAUAGUUGCUUUUCUUUGUCACCGUUCAUUUGUUUUUAGUGCUAAGAUUAGAACACAUAAUUUAUAAAAUUUUACUUUUUUAACAUUUGAGUGAUUGUUGGGCCGUUCUGGUGGUUAUUAAAUGCGAGGCUUGCUGGUGUAAAUGUUGACAGGGCCAAGCGGGAAUAGUAAAGAAAAGCAGACUGGGUAUGAGUUGGUGUUGGGAGGAUUGGGGCUCUCUGGAGACCAGAUCCCUCACCUGAAAAGGCAUCCAACAUCAUAGUAUGCCAGCUUAGCAUCUUUUAGCUGUUCUAUGCGGGAAGGCACGUCUCAUGUGAAAUCUUUCAGUGUUUUAAUGUUGGGAACUGAUUCUGGCUUUUUAUUUUCUAAGUAGUAGUUGGGUUGUACAAAAGAUUUCUGCAGAUUUGGCCUGUGUGUCAUCAGUUUGUGAUCUCUGGCUUAAAGUGCACAUAGGUUGGCCUAUCUUAACUCUCAAGCAUAUUUCUUGGAUUGUAUCCAAAGGAAAGUUGAAGAUAUUUCCCAGCUAAUCUGUGUUUUGUUUUAAUGAGGAACUAGAAGACCUUCUGCCAUCUAGACCAGAAGUUCCAACAUCAUUGGAGAUACAGAGGAGGUAGAGCUUCAAGAAUUUGAUAGCACUCGGGGCUCAGGAGGUGG